CCACACUUUUUCGCAAUCGCAGGUCUCUCCUUUCUCCUAUGUUCGAACAUAAUCCUCAGAGAAAAGAAAAUGGAGAAGGGCAAGAGGGAGGUGGUGGUCUCAGCUCUGCAGUUCGCUUGCACCGACGACGUCGCCACCAACGUCGCCACCGCGGAAAGGUUGGUUAGAGCUGCCCAUGCGAAGGGUGCAAACAUCAUUCUUAUACAGGAACUUUUUGAGGGACAUUACUUCUGUCAGGCACAAAGGGAGGACUUCUUUCAGCGAGCAAAGCCUUACAAGGAUCAUCCAACUAUUCUUAGGAUGCAAAUACUUGCAAAAGAGUUGGGUGUGGUAAUACCAGUUAGCUUUUUCGAAGAGGCAAAUAAUGCUCAUUACAAUUCAGUUGCCAUUAUAGAUGCUGAUGGGGCAGAUCUUGGACUUUAUAGGAAGUCCCACAUCCCAGACGGACCUGGCUACCAGGAAAAGUUCUACUUCAAUCCAGGUGACACUGGAUUCAAGGUUUUCAAGACCAAGUUCGCAACCAUUGGAGUUGCAAUUUGCUGGGAUCAGUGGUUCCCUGAGGCUGCCCGGUGUUUGGUUCUUCAAGGUGCAGAGAUAUUGUUCUACCCAACUGCUAUUGGUUCCGAACCUCAAGAUGGAGGACUUGAUUCUCGGGAUCACUGGAGGCGAGUGAUGCAAGGGCAUGCUGGGGCUAAUGUGGUCCCUGUAGUAACUUCAAAUCGUAUAGGAAAGGAGAUAAUCGAGACCGAGCACGGAAAGAGUGAGAUCACUUUCUAUGGUAACUCUUUCAUAGCAGGACCCACUGGAGAAAUUGUUGCAACUGCUAAUGAUAAAGAGGAAGCUGUACUAGUAGCACAAUUUGACCUAGACAAAAUCAAAUGGAAGAGACAUAGCUGGGGAGUAUUCCGUGAUCGCCGCCCAGAUUUAUACAAGGUGCUACUGACAUCAGAUGGCAGCAAUUCCCCGUUGUGAUGAUUCGUUUUGAUACCAUGCUUGCUCUAGAAUUAAUAAAGGAAGUACUUCCUAAGUACAGUGCGGCUGCGGUGAUUUCAAGAGUCCCCAAUGGAAGGAUUGGAGGAUUUACGAUUUACUUUAGAGGAAGUAUUAUUGGCAGAAAUAUCGGUGUUUGAAUACGCCAUAAUCCAUGUCAGCCGCCAAGCCACUGCUCGAUGUGCCCUCAUACGAUCACCCAACAAGCCACUGCUCGACGUGCCCUCGUACGAUCACCCGACUGUUGUGGCGAAUUUCCGAUGUUGGCUCGUAGAUGGUCAGGAUAGCAGGUCCAAUUUACCCACACUCGCACAAUGCAAGUAAGAACCCAAAGCUUCCUCAUCAAUAUAUGAACUAGAGGGGAGCUCUGAGUAAUGGACCGUCAA